GACGAACGCUGGCGGCGUGCCUAAUACAUGCAAGUAGAACGCAGUUGCGAACGGGUGAGUAACGCGUAGGUAACCUGCCUCAUAGCGGGGGAUAACUAUUGGAAACGCUAGCUAAUACCGCCUACUGUGAGUUGGACCUGCGUUGUAUUAGCUAGUUGGUGAGGUAAAGGGUCACCAAGGCGAAGAUACAUAACCGACCUGAGAGGGGGAUCCGCCACAAUGGGACUGAGAAACGGGCCAGACUCCUACGGGAGGCAGCAGUAAGGAAACUUCGGCAAGUGACGGAAGUCUGAACCAGCAAAGCCGGGUGAGGGAAGAAGGUUUUCGGGACGUAAAGCUCUGUUGUUAGGAGAACGGUAACUAACCAGAAAGGGACGGCUAACUACGUGCCAGCCGCCGCGGUAAUAC
rnacentral:rRNA from 1 species